AUGGCAACUUUUCCGUUGUGGCACUUAGCCAGACCCUCAAACAAUGAGAGAUUAGCAGAGGAAACGGCAGCAUAUCCAUGUCCACUAACUCCAAAGGGACUGGUAAGGAAAAUCUUGACAACUCCAGGGCUGAGCUCUUGCCAGUGGGUGCUGGCCGGACCUGGGCCGGGCGUGCGCCUCUUCAGAGGAUGCCAGCUCCCUCUUCUGCUCCUGCCAACCAUGAAACAGCCCAGUUAUGAAACAGAACUGAUUAUCCUGCCAGUGACCUAUAUUAACAGAACAGGGGGCAGGGGAGGUGCCACUGGAGACCUUGGGACUCUGGUUACUGCCCUGUUUGGAGCCACCAGGUCGGUGAUUACCCCUGGACUCAGCCAGGAGGAGGAGGCUCUGCAGAAGAAAUUCAACCAGCUCAAAGAAAAGAAAAAGGCAUUGCUGGCUCUGAAGAAGCAAAGUAGUACAGCAGAGCCAGCCAAGGCAGUGUUCAACGUUCACUGUCAGAGCAGCCUGUGGUAGGCCCAGCCAUGGCAACAGAGCGAGCAAACUAGCUGGUGAAAUCAGGAGCUGUCAGUGUCCUCAAGGCUGAGACCAAGAACUCGGGCUUCAGACGUUCUCAAACCCUGGCGGGGAAGUUAAAGGACCCUGAGAAGGGGCCAGUCCACAAUUUCCAGCUGUCCCAAAGGAGCAUAUCUGCCCCAGAGAAAAUCUCCGUGUGAGAGUUUUGUGUCUUCCAGUGAUGGGCUUCGGGAACUGGGGCCAAGAUGGGGAAGAGGCAGAGGGCCCAGGGACUGGUGAGGGGCCCCCUCAGAACUUUGGUGCUCUAAAAAACCUGGUGGUGCCCACUCCUCAGCCUCCCCUCCCCGAAGCUGCAGCUGGGGCCACAGUUGUGAGCAGAAUGGGGACAAAGACAGGGACCCUGAUCAAGAACCAGAAGGCCCCUUCCACAUGUUGGACUCGUUCCCCCAAAGCAGGGCCCCUCAGAAGGGGAAUACUCUUUAGGUGUGUGGAGAGGACAUGAUGCCCACCGUCUUCUGUGGGGCCUUCUCUUCCUUUGGAAACAUCAUUGACCUCUCCAUGGGCCCACCCAGAAACUGUGCCUCCAUCACCUAUGAAAAGAUGGCGUCAGCAGAUCACGCCAUUACUGAGCUCAAUGGGAUCCAGGUAGAAUCGAUACAGCUCAAAGUCAGCAUUGCCCGCAAACGGCCCAUGCUGGAUGCUGCCACUGGCAAGUCUAUCUGGGGCUCCCUUGCUGUCUUAAACAGCCCUAAGGGUUGCCACCGGGACAAGAGUAUCCAGAUUGUCUCCAGUGAUGAUGUCUACAAGGAAAACCUUGUGGAUGGCUUCUAGGAAAUGGAGCUGGACUCCGUGUAUCUCAUCUGUACCAGCACUGGUCUCAGCAAAACACUGAGUUAGAAGCUCAAAAA